rnacentral:lncRNA from 1 species
CGCUGGGGAGCCGGGUGCGCCAGGCUGGGGACCUUGCGUGGGGCAGGGCUUGGCUCAGCCGAGGGGCCGCGGCUCAGCCCCCCUCACCGGCCUUAAAGGUUCCCAGAGACGCAAAGUCGGACGCGGGUCCUGAGCGCGGAGCUACAGGGGGGAGCAUGGGGCAGCCCCCAAGGCGCGCUCCCUGCAUUUCCCACCCUUUCCACGCUGCCCUGCGCGCACGGUCGGGCGCCCUUGGGGUGGGCAGGGAGGCGCGGGCAGGGGCAGCGCCGAAGACCUCCCGCCGCCAUGGAGAAGGGGCUCCCCACCCACCCUCCUGCCCCAACCAUUAUAGAUCCCAGCCAGUGCGCCCCGCGCCCUUCCGGGACAAGCUGCCCCCAGGACCACCGUGCCCCAGUAUCAAGCGGACAGCAAAUCUCUCGGUGGCUCCUUUUGUAAGGGUUUCUGCCCUCAGGGUUGUUACGGGACAGAAAUGGUUUCAUCAGAAACAAGCCCUCCUCGCACACUCACAGUUUGCAGGACUCCGAACUGGGCCCGCGAGAUCUCCACCUGCGCAAAACGAAAGGGCGGAUUCUCCUUGGACUCACGAGGCAACCGCUCCCCGGGGUGAGAACGGGGGACUCAUUCCUCCGGCACUGGGAGAAGACGAUUCUUUAGGAGGAGGACAGGGAAGCGAAUGCUACCCAGAUGUCUCAGUAUACUGGCUCGCGGCACAUCGGGCAAAUGAACCUAUCAGAUAACAACGGCAGAUCAGAUGCCUGAGCAUUCAGAAGCAACAGCUGUGGAGCCCCCGUGGGUUCAGAAGGCCUGGUUCCCGUCUCCAGAAGCCUGGCUCUCCUCCCUCCUGGGCCCACUACUUUGGCUUCUUGUUCCUACGUACAAGGAGUUGCGAAGAAGGCAACUCUUCCCCUCCCUGAAGCCAAAGGAAUGAAACAGACUAGGGCGGGAGAGGUGGCCAUCCGUCAUUAGUUGCGGCCAUCAGUAACAGCAACAGGACACGGAACCUAAGGCUGUAUCCAUCCUGGGCCCCCAGGGAAACAUCAGCGGGAGCGGUACUAAGGAAGUGCUCAUCUCUUAGAGACAAAGGCCCAUGGAGGGGAACAGUAACCAUCCCCUCCCAAUUCAGAAAAUGUUAACAUAAGCACUUCAUUUCUCAUGCAGAUAACCACAUAAGUCUAUUAAUAAGAAAGAAAGAGAAAGAAAAAAAAGAAAAAGGAAUCCAUGCCAGCAGGGUAUAGGAAUUGGUCUAUAGGAGAAAGGGUCACCCACUGAAAGGUGGGCUGAAUAGAAUUCCUUGCCUGGGCUUUGAGGUCCUGGCAUGGAGAAGGCUGUAGAAAUGCUGGCAUCAGUGGAACCCUCAAUAAACAGAAUUCUUGUUAAA